GGCUUAGAGUUUGAUCAUGGCUCAGGAUGAACGCUGGCGGCGUGCCUAACACAUGCAAGUCGAGCGAAGCACUUUGCUUUGAUUUCUUCGGAUUGAGAAGUGAUUUGACUGAGCGGCGGACGGGUGAGUAACGCGUGGGUAACCUGCCUCACACAGGGGGAUAACAGUUAGAAAUGGCUGCCAAUACCGCAUAAGACCACAGCACCGCAUGGUGCAGGGGUAAAAACUCCGGUGGUGUGAGAUGAGCCCGCGUCUGAUUAGCUAGUUGGCAGGGUAAUGGCCUACCAAGGCGACGAUCAGUAGCCGACCCGAGAGGGUGACCGGCCACAUUGGGACUGAGACACGGCCCAAACUCCUACGGGAGGCAGCAGUGGGGAAUAUUGCACAAUGGGGGAAACCCUGAUGCAGCGACGCCGCGUGAGCGAAGAAGUAUUUCGGUAUGUAAAGCUCUAUCAGCAGGGAAGAAACUGACGGUACCUGACUAAGAAGCACCGGCUAAAUACGUGCCAGCAGCCGCGGUAAUACGUAUGGUGCAAGCGUUAUCCGGAUUUACUGGGUGUAAAGGGAGCGUAGACGGAGCAGCAAGUCUGGAGUGAAAACCCGGGGCUCAACCCCGGGACUGCUUUGGAAACUGUUGUUCUAGAGUGCUGGAGAGGUAAGUGGAAUUCCUAGUGUAGCGGUGAAAUGCGUAGAUAUUAGGAGGAACACCAGUGGCGAAAGCGGCUUACUGGACAGUAACUGACGUUGAGGCUCGAAAGCGUGGGGAGCAAACAGAUUAGAUACCCUGGUAGUCCACGCCGUAAACGAUGACUGCUGGGUGUCGGUAGCAAGCUAUUCGUGCNCAGCUAACGCAUAAGCAGUCCANCUGGGG
rnacentral:rRNA from 1 species